AGCAGAUUGUUGUCAUACUGUCACGACCCGGGCUGGACAGCCCAGGGAGUCGUGUUGAGUUCGGAAUUCCCUCGGGCUAAAUUAAGGAACUGCCAUGAAACUACCUCAGUGACCCGUGUAACCCGCGGUAACCACAUACAUCAUUUCAGGGAAGAAGGGGAUCCCUCCUGCUGGGUCUGGAGGUUCUGAGCAGACCCCCUUGCUUUCUAGACUCCUUCUCAGAGAGGAGCCCGGGGGGGGCUGGAUCUGCUCCUGGUCCCAGACUUGGUCAGCGGUUUACGUCUAAAGGGAUGAGGUGUGGGGGUUAUGGAAAAGGAAAGAGGGAGCAAGAGAGAGAAAA